rnacentral:rRNA from 1 species
AGCGAACGCUGGCGGCAGGCCUAACACAUGCAAGUCGAACGAAGUCUUCGGACUUAGUGGCGGACGGGUGAGUAACACGUGGGAACGUACCUUAUGGUUCGGAACAACUCAGGGAAACUUGAGCUAAUACCGGAUGAGCCCUUAGGGGGAAAGAUUUAUCGCCGAAAGAGCGGCCCGCGUUAGAUGAGCUAGUUGGUGAGGUAAAGGCUCACCAAGGCUACGAUCUAUAGCUGGUCUGAGAGGAUGAUCAGCCACACUGGGACUGAGACACGGCCCAGACUCCUACGGGAGGCAGCAGUGGGGAAUCUUGCGCAAUGGGCGAAAGCCUGACGCAGCCAUGCCGCGUGAAUGAUGAAGGUCUUAGGAUUGUAAAAUUCUUUUACCAGGGACGAUAAUGACGGUACCUGGAGAAAAAGCCCCGGCUAACUUCGUGCCAGCCGCCGCGGUAACAC